CCUACGGGAGGCAGCAGUGAGGAAUAUUGGUCAAUGGCCGAGAGGCUGAACCAGCCAAGUCGCGUGAGGGAAGAAGGCCCUAAGGGUUGUAAACCUCUUUUGUCGGGGAGCAAAGCGAGUCACGUGUGACUCAUUGAGAGUACCCGAAGAAAAAGCAUCGGCUAACUCGGUGCCAGCAGCCGCGGUUAUACGGGGGAUGCGAGCGUUAUCCGGAUUUAGUGGGUGUAAAGGGUGCGUAGGCGGGCUGUUCAGUCAGCGGUAAAAGCCCGGGGCUAAACCCCGGCGAGCCGGUGAAACUGGCUGUCUUGAGAUGUCGAGAGGUAUGCGGAAUGCGCAGUGUAGCGGUGAAAUGCUUAGAUAUUGCGCAGAACUCCGAUUGCGAAGGCAGCAUACCGGCGGCGAUCUGACGCUGAGGCACGAAAGCGUGGGUAUCGAACAGGAUUAGAUACCCUGGUAGUC
rnacentral:rRNA from 1 species